rnacentral:misc_RNA from 1 species
CCCACCCCGCCGCUGCUCACGUAUCGCCCGCCGUCCUCUCCUCUCCUCCCCGGCCCCUUCACUCCACCAACGAACCCCACGCAGGCAGCAGCACGCGCAAGCCGCAAGGCAAGGCACAAACACUAGGGGCCGGGCAUGGCGACGCGGGCGGACGUGGAGAAGGGCGGGCCGGCGAGGAAGGAGCCCGGCAAGGUGCCGUCGCCGCUGUACCCGCAGCACGAGGGGGAGCGGGAGUGGGUGCCCUGGCUCGUCCCCGUCAUCUUCGUCGCCAGCAUCACCGUCUUCGUCGUCACCAUGUACGCCAACAACUGCCCCGCGCGCGACACCAACAAGUGCGUCGCCCGCUUCCUCGGCCGCUUCUCCUUCCAGCCGCUGCGACAGAACCCGCUCUUCGGGCCCUCCUCCGCCACGCUCACCAAGAUGGGGGCCCUGGUGUGGGAGAAGGUGGUGCACCGCCACCAGGGCUGGCGCCUCCUCUCCAGCAUGUGGCUCCACGCCGGCGUCAUCCACCUGGUCGCCAACAUGCUCUGCCUCCUCUUCAUCGGCAUGCGCCUCGAACAGCAGUUCGGAUACGUGAGGAUCGGCGCGAUCUACGUGCUCUCCGGCGUGGGCGGCGCCGUGCUGUCGUCGCUGGUCGUCCGGAACCGCGUCACCGUGGGGGCCUCCGGGGCGCUCUUGGGCCUGCUGGGCGCCAUGCUCUCGGAGCUGCUCACCAACUGGACCAUCUACACCAACAAGGCGGCGGCCGUGGCCACGCUCCUGUCCGUGGCCGCCGUCAACCUGGUGCUCGGCGUCCUGCCCCACGUCGACAACCUGGCGCACCUCGGCGGCUUCCUCGCGGGCUUCCUACUCGGCUUCGUCGUGCUCAUGCGCCCCCACUUGGGCUGGAUGGAGCGCUACGGACUCCCCGCCGGCGCGCCCUGCACCGCCAGGAAGUACCUCGCGUACCAGUGGACCCUCCUCGCCGUCGCCAUCAUCAUCCUCCUAGUCGGAUUCGCGGCCGGCAUGGCGAUGCUCUUCCGCGGCGCCAACGCCAACGACAGCUGCCACUGGUGUCACUACCUCAGCUGCGUGCCCACCGCCAGAUGGAACUGCACCAACUGAUGAUCCAUGCAUAGCGGCAGCAGCACGAGUUGGAGUUGCCACCCAUUUUCAUCUUCCGAUCCGUAUAGUCUCGUUACUGUAGAUAGCUUCUUUGUCAUUCAU